GAAUAGGACCCUGUCUCCAAUUUUCAGUUGGUUUGCCGCGAGGACCAGGGUAAUGAUUAAUAGGGAUAGUUGGGGGCAUUAAUAUUUAAUUGUCAGAGGUGAAAUUCUUGGAUUUAUGAAAGAUUAACUUCUGCGAAAGCAUCUGCCAAGGAUGUUUUCAUUAAUCAAGAACGAAAGUUAGGGGAUCGAAGACGAUCAGAUACCGUCGUAGUCUUAACCAUAAACGAUGCCGACCAGCGAUUAGGAGACGUUGAAUACAAAACACCACCAUGCGCAUUGCGGUCGUCUUUGGUGUCGCUCACAAGGCGGCACCGGGGCGGCUUAGCUCGCAUGGCACCGGUGAAUGACUCCCUAGCAGCUUGUGAGAA
rnacentral:rRNA from 1 species